GUCACAGUAACUUUGCGCCGCCAUCUUGCCGACCGAUUCGAGUCGCUCACUAGGCGGCGCCAUUCACUCAUACAUGGAUAUCUUAAAUAAUAGAAACUUUCCCCUUCGUUUGUUCCCUUCGUUUUACACGCAAACGGCGAUUUCGCCUCUGAAUACGAUUAUUUCUAAACAAAACUCGGGCAAAAGUGGAGAUUUGGAAAUUCAUUUCGCGUUGUAUUUAAACUGAGAAAACCGAAGAAAAAGUGUGACCACGGAGCGACCACGGAGCCAGCGGCUCGAGGGAAAUGAUUAGCUGCUAACAAGUUCAACAGGUUAAGGUCACACAGUCAUGUUAGCUAUGUGUUGUGCAGUUGAGGAACCUUGAACUGGUAUGUUAUGCUAACGUUAUACCAAAAGAAAGAAGAAAGAAGUAGCUGCCAUUCGAAGAGAUGUUUGGAUAACCACGAUUCACACCCUGCAAUGAACACUUUCGUGUCAGGAGCGACUGCUUUGGACUCCAGUUUUGUGCGCAGUCUUUUUGCACACACCUCGGAGAGGGAGAAGGACAAACAACAUUCAGCCAAUGAAGCACAAAAUGCGUGACUUGCAACAAUCUCACUGGCUGUUCAACCACCAAUGUGGAGGAGCAUGAAGAGGCUACUAUUUCUACUGACCAUCACAGUGACCACAACUAUGAAAAGACCUGGCAUCGGAGAUAUCAGCACUGGAAAGUGAGUGUGUGUGGCUCAUGAGUUAAGGGCCAGGGAUGAGGAACAGUCCUUGAAUGAAUACUUUUUUGCUCACUUUUUUGGAAUAUCUAAAUUCACGGUCAUCAUAGUGUUCAUUAGCACAUUAGAUGUAAUGUUUUUCAAAUUCUCAGAUCUAAUCUUAUGGCCACCUAAGGAACAGCAGUGAGAUCACAACACAUGAUUGGUCCAGUGUAUCCCCAACACAUCACAUGAUUGGCACUAUGUAUUCACAUGUCAUCUUUUGGAUCUUUCAAACUGGAUUGUGGAUCCAAACAUUGUAAUGCUUUGUUUGACACUGUCUUGACAGGUCUUAAAUAAAAUAUGUUGAACCAUGA